CAUAGUUAUAGAUGGACAGAGGAGUAGGAAAGGAAGAGAAAAGGGUACAAUCAUGCCACCCAUAAUCAAUUUCCAGUUUUAUUUUCUUAAAAUGACAAGAUGAAAAAAACUUCUAAUAAGCACCAUUGAAAAAAGUUGCCUGGCCAACAUGGGCAUGAGCUUAAAUAUUAUUUAAAUAAAUUCCAUUUCUGAAAAAAUACAGGACCUCUUAGAAACUUUUUGACUCCAGGAAGAAAUUUCCUGCAUCAUCUCCAAAACGCUUCCCAUGAUGACAAACAGAAUUUCUGAUGGCCUUUCAACAAAUGGGGAUAAUGGCUAGAUAGCACCAAGAGAUUGUGCAGGGGCUACAAAGUUAACGCUCUGAAUUUCAGGGAAGCUGGAUCAGUCUCGGCUCUUUCAUGCACCUCUGCAUUCUGUCCAUCUGUCCAUCACCAAUUUGACUACACAGUGCAAUCCCAUGUGGUGAGCUGUGUGUAAAAUAACCCAAUCUACAAUGGAAAAGCCAGUAGCAGCAAGUCUAUCUGAUGAAGCCAGUGGAGCAGACUUAUCAAAUGAGUCAAAUGCAAAAACCAGUACAUAACGCAGGAAGCAAAUUAUGUGUGGAAAAGUAUCACUGUUUAGCUGUGAAAUACGAAGACAGAUGACACUGAACACAACUCGGUAGGAUGUUCUCAAUGCCCUCAGGUCCAGUUUUCGGUCAUUUCCCCCCAAUGGUAGACUCAAGCACGAAAAAUGAUCGAUGCAAGAGCUUUCUGUUUCAUUUUGGUCUAUGUAUGCUCUUGUGAUAUUUUGGAAAGGUAUUUUUAGGCGCCUGAAAGGGGAAACAAGCACAUAAAUGCAAAAGGGAAAAAAAUGGACCUUCAAAACCAGGGCAGGAAAUCAAAUCAUUACUUUAACGUCAAAUUUUGGCAUCAAAUGCUUUGGUCAUACAAUACUGUCUCUGUGGUUCUGGCUGUUUAGCACUAAACACCCAGUUAUAAAAGGUAGGCUUGUUGUAGGUUUAUUUUUUUCUUUCAUUUAAGUUCUGACAAAACAGUUCACCAUCUCCCUGCACAAACUUGAGAGAAAGAGAGAAAGACAGAAGAGAGAGAGAAGAGAGCAAGAAAGAGAGAGGUGGCUUGCUUUUUUUUGGCUUGUUUUUUUUUUCUUUUUAAUAAUAUGGAAUAAUCUAUAACUCUACAGGAACAAGGAAAUCUAAGGUGGCUGCUCAGCCUUGGAAUGUACAUGUUUUGCAGCAAAGUUGUUGAAGAACCUUCCGUUGGCACAGAUUGUUCUUUUUCACAAGCAUACAGAAGCCUCCUUCGGCCCAGGACUCUUCCGUUGCUUUUCCGGGAAGUCAGCAAGAGAGAGGGAGAGUUGAGGACGAGAGCAGCGUGAUGUACACACACGGAAGAAGGUUGUGAUUGGCCAGAGAGGCAGAUUGGGGAUUGGAAGAGAUCAUUCAGGAGUAGUCAACAGGAGGAAAUUUGGUCCACCCAAAGUGAUUUCAGUCAACAGCAUUGUUUUUCAAGGAGAGAUAUUGCAGUCCAACGGUAAAUGUGAUUGGUAUCCAUUUUG